ACAUUGGUUGUUUAGUGGUAGAAUUCUUGCCUUCCAUGUAGGAUCCUUGGGUUGGAUUCCCUGCCAAUGCA
rnacentral:tRNA from 1 species